rnacentral:rRNA from 1 species
AUUGAACGCUGGCGGCAUGCCUUACACAUGCAAGUCGAACGGCAGCACGGGUGCUUGCACCUGGUGGCGAGUGGCGAACGGGUGAGUAAUACAUCGGAACAUGUCCUGUAGUGGGGAUAGGCCCGCGUAAAGCGGAAUUAAUACGGAUAAGAGCUUUCGGAGAAAGGGGGGGGCCCUCGGGGCUUGAGCUAUUGGGUUGGGCGAAGGCCUAUUAGGUAGUUGGUGGGGUAAAGGCCUAACAAGGUGACGAGCCAUAGCGGGUCUCAGAGGGCGAACAGACACACUGGCACUGAGACACGGCACCCACUCCUGCGGGGGGCAGCAGUGGAGACUUUUACAGAAUGGAGGAAAGCGUGAUCCUGCACUGCCGGGUGUGUGAAGAAGGCCUUCGGGUUGUAGAGCAAUUUAGUCCGGAAAGAUAUCCUUGGCUUUAAUCCGGUCGGAGGAUGACGGUACCGGAAGAAUAAGCACCGGCUAACUCCGUG